CACAGGUGGUAUUGCGUUUCAAUUAUUAAUUGGGCAUUAAGUGUGAUUAGGUGGCCCAUAGUGGCUAGAGUUCUAAAAGGAGAAGUAGAGGAAUAACCCAAUGAAGGAUGAAAUCUACAGAUAUGGGUUGGAACAUCGAUAGCUACAGGCAUCACUCUAUUUUAUAACUGACACUGAAUCACUAAAGUGUGGGGAGCAAAACGG
rnacentral:rRNA from 1 species